rnacentral:rRNA from 1 species
AUUGAACGCUGGCGGCAUGCCUUACACAUGCAAGUCGAACGGCAGCAUGAUCUUGCUUUCUAGAUUGAUGGCGAGUGGCGAACGGGUGAGUAAUACAUCGGAACGUGCCCUGUUGUGGGGGAUAACUAGUCGAAAGAUUAGCUAAUACCGCAUACGACCUGAGGGUGAAAGUGGGGGACCGCAAGGCCUCAUGCUAUAGGAGCGGCCGAUGUCUGAUUAGCUAGUUGGUGAGGUAAAGGCUCACCAAGGCGACGAUCAGUAGCUGGUCUGAGAGGACGAUCAGCCACACUGGGACUGAGACACGGCCCAGACUCCUACGGGAGGCAGCAGUGGGGAAUUUUGGACAAUGGGCGAAAGCCUGAUCCAGCAAUGCCGCGUGUGUGAAGAAGGCCUUCGGGUCGUAAAGCACUUUUGUCCGGAAAGAAAUGGCUCUGGUUAAUACCUGGGGUCGAUGACGGUACCGGAAGAAUAAGGACCGGCUAACUACGUG